GACGAACGCUGGCGGCGUGCCUAAUACAUGCAAGUCGAACGCAGUGGGGACGGGUGAGUAACACGUGCGUAACCUUCCCAUCAGAGGGGAUAACACUUGGAAACAGGUGCUAAACCAAUACUGAUGGCUGGACCCGCGGUGCAUUAGCUAGUUGGUGAGGUAACGGCUCACCAAGGCCACGAUGCAUAGGCGACCUGAGCGGGUGAUCGGCCACACGGGGACUGAGACACGGCCCAGAUGCCUACGUGAGGCAGCAGUAGGGAAUCUGCGGCAAUGGACGAAAGUCUGACCGAGCAACGCGGCGUGAGUGAAGAAGGUGUUCGGAGCGUAAAACUCUGUUGUUAGAGAAGCGGUAUCUAACCAGAAAGCCACGGCUAACUACGUGCCAGCAGCCGCGGUAAUUC
rnacentral:rRNA from 1 species